rnacentral:misc_RNA from 1 species
UACGGAGGGUGCAAGCGUUAGUCGGAAUUACGGGGCGUAAAGCGCGCGUAGGCGGUUUGGUAAGUCGGGUGUGAAAGCCCUGGGCUCAACCUGGGAAUUGCAUUCGAUACUGCCUGACUAGAAUAUGGUAGAGGGAAGUGGAAUUUCCGGUGUAGCGGUGAAAUGCGUAGAUAUCGGAAGGAACACCAGUGGCGAAGGCGACUUCCUGGGCCAAUACUGACGCUGAGGCGCGAAAGCGGGGGUAGCAAACAGG